GUUGGCGAGGCGGUUGGAGCGGCCCGCGCGCGUGCCCGCCCCGCCCCGCGGGAGGUCGGGCCGGGCCCCCUCUCGGCACCGCCCGGCUCCUGAGGGGAAGCGGGUGCCCGGGGUUAGGGCCCGCGGGCUGCCAGCGAGAGGGGCGCUGCGGCGGCGGCCCGCGGGCGUUACCCGAGCCGGGGCAAGGCUGGCCGUGGCCCGGCGGGAGAAGGACCGCGGCGAGCCAGCCGCUCGCAACCGCUUUCAGGCUGAAGGCAGCGUUCACACGCAGACUGUAGCGAAACCGGCGCAAGAGGCGAAGCUCUGCGUCCAUCCACCGGCCGGCUGCCCCCGGGGCGUCCGUUCCCCGGGAGCCCAGAGAGGGGCCUGCCCCGGGGGGAGCCUGGCGGGCUGGCCCGCUCCAGGCUGGGUGGCGGCGGGGAGGGGAAGCGGUGCGGGGAAGCGGUGCGGGCCGCUCGUGUCCGGGAACCGCGCGGGCUGAAGCAGCAGGAAAGUCUGGUUCCAGCGCGACGGGGACUUUCCGCCGGUGACAGCCACAGGCCUGGGCCCGGCCUGCGAGACGCACCAUUUCCUUUUAAGGAGCUGCAGCCGAUCUGGGCCAAAUUCAUCCCGAGUGUAAUUCGGCUUCGGCCCAGUUACACGAAGGAUGAACUACUCAAAGCCCAGUCGUUGCUGAUUGGGGAACAGAGCCAUUUUGGGAAUAAAACUACAAAGCCAAAGGGAGCAGCCUUGACAGUGGCGCUGCCUGCAGAUGACCCGUCUGCAGGGAGGUGACAAGAAACCCCCCCUGUGAGCAGGUACAGUUAGUGAAAGUCACUUUUGGUGUUAGUUUAACAUAGAGUUGUCUAGUGACUUGGAGCAAAACUAAGUUAUUAAAUGAGAAAUGACACAGGAAUGUCCGUUUUGUGUAGAACCUUCCCCUCCACACUGAACAGGCUGCUGCCCCUGGAAGACGAGUCUACAGCUGGGAAUGAGACAAACUCCCACUCACGAAGCUUUAGCUAGACAGUGUGGACAUUGCUGCUUGGCCUACAGCUUGCCUCUCAAGCCUAAGCAGUUGGAUGGGUUUGGGAGGCCAAACUGCAAUGUCCACACUAUUCUUAGGCUUCAGACCCAAUAUCCUGAGUCUGUCUACCCAGGCUGGGUGGCUUGCUCCCAGCUGCACUGUAGACAUACUCAGAAUGGCCUGCUGGGACUCUAGGAUUUCAGAUUGGCUGUAAAUGAGAAUGAUUCAGAAUUUCCGCUCUGGCUCCAAUUUCAGCCCAUGGCCCCUUGCUUCACCUGGCAGGGGCUGCUCCAAUAGAUUUUCUGAACACAUGAAGUCCUGCUAAUUUGCAGGGAUCCUGGAUUACCCAGGGCAGGAUGAGGGCUCCCAGCGGUAGCAAGUUAUUAAACACCAGUAUUUCAGGCCAGUGAGCCAUACUGACCUGGAGAAAAAAGACACUGCCAACGGCUAAUCUACUUGCUCUAUUAAACACCUGAAUCUUACUCAAAGACACCUGACUACUUCCCCAGGACUCCACUGUGUCAGAUAUAACAAGGGAUGGUAAAGCAGUUGAGUCUUUCCCAUGUUCUAUCUACAUUCUUAUCCCUUGCCUGUGGCUCUGGGGUCUGAGUGUGGGUGUCAUUGAGGAAUGGGAUUUAUUUAACUUGUCAGUAAAGCAUUUCCAGAUGCAGUUUAUAUGAAAGAUGUUUUC